CACUAGAAAUGGUUUUCUACAUCACUCACUGUUAAAGCUCUCUUUGUCCCAUGUCUUUUCUAUGGCCACUCUGUACUCAUAGUCAACAUACGACUUGUCCAAAUUAGUUUUUUGUUUGUUUGUUUGUUUGUUUUUUUGAGACAGAGUCUCGCUUUGCCAAGCUGGAGUGCAGUGGCGCCAUCUAAAGAAUGGCAAAGCCCACUCUCUGGGUAUGAUGUUUAUGGGUGAGUACAUGACACAGAACGUCUGAAUUCCUAUAUCUGCCUUCUUUGAUGAGGAAAGUGUUCCUUUGGAUGAGUAGCAUGAAAUAAACAUCGUAAAGAACAAACUGAAACCCCAGAGAACCAAAAGAUUGCAGAGGAUCACACGUCUGCUCUGAGUUCAGCCUUCUGGCCUGAAGCCUUCUAUUUCAAGAACUGAGGAAACUGGAGGACACAUGAUCCAGCAUGUUCCUGAAUUCCGAGGAAUCUGAAAACAUGUGAGGCCAGACAACUAGAACAGGCA
rnacentral:lncRNA from 1 species